AGUGAACGCUGGCGGUAGGCCUAACACAUGCCAGUCGAACGGCAGCACAGUAAGAGCUUGCUCUUACGGGUGGCGAGUGGCGGACGGGUGAGGAAUACAUCGGAAUCUACUUUUUCGUGGGGGAUAACGUAGGGAAACUUACGCUAAUACCGCAUACGACCUACGGGUGAAAGCAGGGGAUCUUCGGACCUUGCGCGAUUGAAUGAGCCGAUGUCGGAUUAGCUAGUUGGCGGGGUAAAGGCCCACCAAGGCGACGAUCCGUAGCUGGUCUGAGAGGAUGAUCAGCCACACUGGAACUGAGACACGGUCCAGACUCCUACGGGAGGCAGCAGUGGGGAAUAUUGGACAAUGGGCGCAAGCCUGAUCCAGCCAUACCGCGUGGGUGAAGAAGGCCUUAGGGUUGUAAAGCCCUUUUGUUGGGAAAGAAAAGCAGCAGGUUAAUACCCCGCUGUUCUGACGGUACCCAAAGAAUAAGCACCGGCUAACUUCGUG
rnacentral:rRNA from 1 species